CCCGGGCCUUGUACACACCGCCCGUCACACCAUGGGAGUUGGUUUUACCUUAACGACCGGUCGGCGCUAACCGCAAGGAGGCAGCCGUCCACGGUAAGGUCAGCGACUGGGGUG
rnacentral:rRNA from 1 species